GACGAACGCUGGCGGCGUGCCUAAUACAUGCAAGUUGAGCGCUGAAGGUUGGUACUUGUACCAACUGGAUGAGCAGCGAACGGGUGAGUAACGCGUGGGGAAUCUGCCUUUGAGCGGGGGACAACAUUUGGAAACGAAUGCUAAUACCGCAUAAAAACUUUAAACACAAGUUUUAAGUUUGAAAGAUGCAAUUGCAUCACUCAAAGAUGAUCCCGCGUUGUAUUAGCUAGUUGGUGAGGUAAAGGCUCACCAAGGCGAUGAUACAUAGCCGACCUGAGAGGGUGAUCGGCCACAUUGGGACUGAGACACGGCCCAAACUCCCACGGGAGGCAGCAGUAGGGAAUCUUCGGGAAGGGACGGAAGUCUGACCGAGCAACGCCGCGUGAGUGAAGAAGGAUGUCGGGUCGGAAAACUCGGUUGGUGGGGAAGAACGUGGGUGAGAGUGGAAAGCUCAUCGAGUGACGGUAACUACCCAGAAAGGGACGGCUAACUACGUG
rnacentral:rRNA from 1 species